GUAAGGAAUAUUGGUCAAUGGGCGGAAGCCUGAACCAGCCAUGCCGCGUGCAGGACGACGGCCCUACGGGUUGUAAACUGCUUUUGCCCGGGAAUAACCCCCCGCUCUUGAGCGGGGCUGAACGUACCGGGAGAAUAAGGAUCGGCUAACUCCGUGCCAGCAGCCGCGGUAAUACGGAGGAUCCGAGCGUUAUCCGGAUUUAUUGGGUUUAAAGGGUGCGUAGGCGGCCUGUUAAGUCAGGGGUGAAAUACGGCAGCUCAACUGUCGCAGUGCCCUUGAUACUGACGGGCUUGAAUACCGGUGAAGGCGGCGGAAUGAGACAAGUAGCGGUGAAAUGCAUAGAUAUGUCUCAGAACCCCGAUUGCGAAGGCAGCUGCCUAACCGGCGAUUGACGCUGAUGCACGAAAGCGUGGGGAUCGAACAGGAUUAGAUACCCCUGUAGUCC
rnacentral:rRNA from 1 species